UGGACCGCUAGGAUUUGUACCUGUCUUAAGCCCCAUCCUCUCUAACAUCCAUUUUAAUUUGAGUUUCGCAGCAGGAACUAAGAUUUUGGAUCCGCAAUGGCGUCCACCGCAGCUCGUCGAACCCUAGCUUCUCUCCUCGCUCGAACUCUCUCUUCCCCAUCUCCAUCUUCAUCCUCUCGCUCCCCCCGCCUCUCCAUUCCUCUCCUCAACGCCGCCGCCGCCUCCGCCUCGCCCUUGCCCGGACGCGGAGCCGACCCGCUCAACGUCCUGACCCGCCCCAAGACCUCCGGGUCGGGCUACUCCCCCCUGAACGACCCGUCGCCGAACUGGAGCAACCGGCCUCCCAAGGAGACCAUCCUCCUCGACGGCUGCGACUACGAGCACUGGCUCAUCGUCAUGGAGUUCCCCACCGACCCCAAGCCCUCCGAGGAAGAGAUGAUCAACGCUUACGUCAAAACUCUUGCCUCCGUCGUCGGAAGUGAGGAGGAGGCGAAGAAGAAGAUUUACUCGGUUUGCAGCACCACUUAUACUGGAUUCGGGUGCCUGAUCUCCGAGGAGCUCUCCUAUAAAGUUAAAGGAUUACCUGGUGUUCUCUGGGUUUUGCCGGAUUCGUAUCUUGAUGUGCCAAACAAAGAUUAUGGAGGUGAUUUGUUUGUCGAUGGUAAAGUCAUUCACCGGCCACAAUAUUGGUACAACGAGAGGCAGCCAACGAGGCGGCCUCGCCCACGGUAUGAUAGGCGCCGUGAAACAAUGCAGGUUGAAAGGAGAGGUCCUGGAAAUGGAGCGAGCUGGGCGCAGAGCCAGCCACAAGCUGUCCAGCAGCAAAUGACGAUUGAGUCCCAGAGUUCCGCUCAGGUUGGAGGGGCAGGCGUUAACAUGGGAGAAUCAAAUACUGGAAGGACAUAAGAUGUUUUUGGCUCUAAUAUAUAACUGUCUUGCUGAAGCCCUCACGUGGAAUUUAUGAGAGUGGCGUGAAUAGAGACAUGUGCUGCUGCCGGUGAAGUCAUUUAUAAAAUUAAGGUCCAUCGCUUGUUCCUUUAAUGGCAUUGCUGGUGACUAUCAAUUACAUUGAAAAGCCAGUUGUUCCUGCACAGAACAUUUCAAAAAGGUUUCGCGACUUUCAUGAGGAUGUUCAAUGUAGCUGCUUUGCGAGAAAGACGUGGUUAUCAUCCAAAUUGAGAAAAACUUAUUUAACUCAUGUUUAAUUUGUGGAAGAUUUUUGCUGAUCAUUACGGAUUGUAGUUUAAAAUAAGGAAAUUUUAUCAAUUUUUAGUAGAAUUUUUCCAGUGGCUAGACCUGUGGCCGGAGUGGAGGGUCGCGUGCUGCAGGAAAUCUUGGUUGAGUCAUUUUCAAUGAGUGACACUGCCUCUCCGGUAUCGUAGGUUGCCUUUGGUUUGUGGGAAACUCUCUGUAAAGGACUGCCAGCCUUUAACGGGGUGGUUCUAAUAGGGUGUCUAGGUCCCGGCUGAUUGGUCUUGAUCACAGGCAAGCCUGCCUUUCUAAGAAUCGUCACAGUGCUUGUAUUGUGGAAUGUCUCGUUGUGAGACCAUACUAUGUCUUCCUUUAUCUGGGACAUCUAGUGUCUCAAGCAAGGCAUACAUCUCUGUUCAACACAAUGAUUGGCUUCAAUCUAUCAUGACCAUUACUAGAAGAGGGACAUCAAUUCCCAAUCAA